CUGAGUGGAAGGAGGUGGCAGCGAGUGUGUUGAUGGGUGCUGGUGAUAGGAUGUUACUGAGUGGAUGGAGGUGGAGGUGUUGGUGGGUGCUGGUGAUAGGAUGUUACUGAGUGGAAGGAGGUGGAGGUGUUGGUGGGUGCUGGUGAUAGGAUGUUACUGAGUGGAAGGAGGUGGAGGUGUUGGUGGGUGCUGGUGAUAGGAUGUUACUGAGUGGAUGGAGGUGGAGGUGUUGGUGGGUGCUGGUGAUAGGAUGUUACUGAGUGGAAGGAGGUGGAGGUGUUGGUGGGUGCUGGUGAUAGGAUGUUACUGAGUGGAAGGAGGUGGAGGUGUUGGUGGGUGCUGGUGAUAGGAUGUUACUGAGUGGAAGGAGGUGGAGGUGUUGGUGGGUGCUGGUGAUAGGAUGUUACUGAGUGGAUGGAGGUGGGGGUGUUGGUGGGUGCUGGUGAUAGGAUGUUACUGAGUGGAUGGAGGUGGAGGUGUUGGUGGGUGCUGGUGAUAGGAUGUUACUGAGUGGAAGGAGGUGGCAGCUAGUGUGUUGGUGGGUGCUGGUGAUAGGAUGUUACUGAGUGGAAGGAGGUGGCAGCUAGUGUGUUGGUGGGUGCUGGUGAUAGGAUGUUACUGAGUGGAUGGAGGUGGAGGUGUUGGUGGGUGCUGGUGAUAGGAUGUUACUGAGUGGAAGGAGGUGGAGGUGCUGGUGAUCUCCGCGGAAAAAGGAUGUCUGGCUACUCAUCUUUGAAGCUCAUAAAAUAUCGCUAGUUUAUGGAGAGAGGAAUAUUAUGCAGCAGAUAUCGGCCUAUUGCCCCACACACAGACCACUGAGUAGGCUAAUUAUUAUAUAGCUGCCCAGUUACUUAUUAAAUCGUGCCAUCUUUUCGACAUUUCAAGCUGUGAUAACAUUGAUUGUAUAAGUGAUGUCAAAUUUAAGUCCCAAACAUAUAGUCAAGCGUCAAAGUGAGAAUCAAGAAGGAAGCAGUUUGAGCAGUUUGUCUUUCCCGCGUCUUACGUCAUCACACCCACACGGGGACGCUGAGGGAAGGACGGAGCGGCUCUUCCUCAAUAUAUCUGCCUUUAUCUCGUGAAUCCGGCGCGUUGAGGAGAAGGUGAGUAUGUGGAGGGAGGCAUGCAAUGUUCAAAAUACCUUGGAACACUAAAUGACUGAGGGUUGUGGUGAGAUGAAGGAAGCAAGUG